CAAACGACUCUUGGCAACGGAUAUCUCGGUUCUCGCAGCGAUGAAGAACGUAGUGAAAUGCGAUACUUGGUGUGAAUUGCAAAAUCCCGUGGACCAUCGAGUCUUUGAAUGCAAGUUGCGCCCUAAGCCAUUAGGCCGAUGGCAUGUCUGUCUGGGCGUCAUGC
rnacentral:rRNA from 1 species